rnacentral:rRNA from 1 species
GAUUAAGUUAUUAAGGGCGCACGGUGGAUGCCUUGGCACUAGAAGCCGAUGAAGGACGUUACUAACGACGAUAUGCUUUGGGGAGCUGUAAGUAAGCUUUGAUCCAGAGAUUUCCGAAUGGGGAAACCCAGCAUGAGUUAUGUCAUGUUAUCGAUAUGUGAAUACAUAGCAUAUCAGAAGGCACACCCGGAGAACUGAAACAUCUUAGUACCCGGAGGAAGAGAAAGAAAAUUCGAUUCCCUUAGUAGCGGCGAGCGAAACGGGAAGAGCCCAAACCAACAAGCUUGCUUGUUGGGGUUGUAGGACACUCUAUACGGAGUUACAAAGGACGACAUUAGACGAAUCAUCUGGAAAGAUGAAUCAAAGAAGGUAAUAAUCCUGUAGUCGAAAAUGUUGUCUCUCUUGAGUGGAUCCUGAGUACGACGGAGCACGUGAAAUUCCGUCGGAAUCUGGGAGGACCAUCUCCUAAGGCUAAAUACUCUCUAGUGACCGAUAGUGAACCAGUACCGUGAGGGAAAGGUGAAAAGCACCCCGGAAGGGGAGUGAAAUAGAACCUGAAACCGUGUGCUUACAAGUAGUCAGAGCCCGUUAAUGGGUGAUGGCGUGCCUUUUGUAGAAUGAACCGGCGAGUUACGAUUUGAUGCAAGGUUAAGCAGUAAAUGUGGAGCCGUAGCGAAAGCGAGUCUGAAUAGGGCGUUUAGUAUUUGGUCGUAGACCCGAAACCAGGUGAUCUACCCUUGGUCAGGUUGAAGUUCAGGUAACACUGAAUGGAGGACCGAACCGACUUACGUUGAAAAGUGAGCGGAUGAACUGAGGGUAGCGGAGAAAUUCCAAUCGAACCUGGAGAUAGCUGGUUCUCUCCGAAAUAGCUUUAGGGCUAGCCUCAAGUGAUGAUUAUUGGAGGUAGAGCACUGUUUGGACGAGGGGCCCCUCUCGGGUUACCGAAUUCAGACAAACUCCGAAUGCCAAUUAAUUUAACUUGGGAGUCAGAACAUGGGUGAUAAGGUCCGUGUUCGAAAGGGAAACAGCCCAGACCACCAGCUAAGGUCCCCAAAUAUAUGUUAAGUGGAAAAGGAUGUGGCGUUGCCCAGACAACUAGGAUGUUGGCUUAGAAGCAGCCAUCAUUUAAAGAGUGCGUAAUAGCUCACUAGUCGAGUGACACUGCGCCGAAAAUGUACCGGGGCUAAACAUAUUACCGAAGCUGUGGAUUGUCCUUUGGACAAUGGUAGGAGAGCGUUCUAAGGGCGUUGAAGCAUGAUCGUAAGGACAUGUGGAGCGCUUAGAAGUGAGAAUGCCGGUGUGAGUAGCGAAAGACGGGUGAGAAUCCCGUCCACCGAUUGACUAAGGUUUCCAGAGGAAGGCUCGUCCGCUCUGGGUUAGUCGGGUCCUAAGCUGAGGCCGACAGGCGUAGGCGAUGGAUAACAGGUUGAUAUUCCUGUACCACCUAUAAUCGUUUUAAUCGAUGGGGGGACGCAGUAGGAUAGGCGAAGCGUGCGAUUGGAUUGCACGUCUAAGCAGUAAGGCUGAGUAUUAGGCAAAUCCGGUACUCGUUAAGGCUGAGCUGUGAUGGGGAGAAGACAUUGUGUCUUCGAGUCGUUGAUUUCACACUGCCGAGAAAAGCCUCUAGAUAGAAAAUAGGUGCCCGUACCGCAAACCGACACAGGUAGUCAAGAUGAGAAUUCUAAGGUGAGCGAGCGAACUCUCGUUAAGGAACUCGGCAAAAUGACCCCGUAACUUCGGGAGAAGGGGUGCUCUUUAGGGUUAACGCCCAGAAGAGCCGCAGUGAAUAGGCCCAAGCGACUGUUUAUCAAAAACACAGGUCUCUGCUAAACCGUAAGGUGAUGUAUAGGGGCUGACGCCUGCCCGGUGCUGGAAGGUUAAGAGGAGUGGUUAGCUUCUGCGAAGCUACGAAUCGAAGCCCCAGUAAACGGCGGCCGUAACUAUAACGGUCCUAAGGUAGCGAAAUUCCUUGUCGGGUAAGUUCCGACCCGCACGAAAGGCGUAACGAUUUGGGCACUGUCUCAACGAGAGACUCGGUGAAAUCAUAGUACCUGUGAAGAUGCAGGUUACCCGCGACAGGACGGAAAGACCCCGUGGAGCUUUACUGUAGCCUGAUAUUGAAAUUCGGCACAGCUUGUACAGGAUAGGUAGGAGCCUUUGAAACGUGAGCGCUAGCUUACGUGGAGGCGCUGGUGGGAUACUACCCUAGCUGUGUUGGCUUUCUAACCCGCACCACUUAUCGUGGUGGGAGACAGUGUCAGGCGGGCAGUUUGACUGGGGCGGUCGCCUCCUAAAAGGUAACGGAGGCGCUCAAAGGUUCCCUCAGAAUGGUUGGAAAUCAUUCAUAGAGUGUAAAGGCAUAAGGGAGCUUGACUGCGAGACCUACAAGUCGAGCAGGGUCGAAAGACGGACUUAGUGAUCCGGUGGUUCCGCAUGGAAGGGCCAUCGCUCAACGGAUAAAAGCUACCCCGGGGAUAACAGGCUUAUCUCCCCCAAGAGUUCACAUCGACGGGGAGGUUUGGCACCUCGAUGUCGGCUCAUCGCAUCCUGGGGCUGUAGUCGGUCCCAAGGGUUGGGCUGUUCGCCCAUUAAAGCGGUACGCGAGCUGGGUUCAGAACGUCGUGAGACAGUUCGGUCCCUAUCCGUCGUGGGCGUAGGAAAUUUGAGAGGAGCUGUCCUUAGUACGAGAGGACCGGGAUGGACAUACCUCUGGUGUACCAGUUGUCGUGCCAACGGCAUAGCUGGGUAGCUAUGUGUGGACGGGAUAAGUGCUGAAAGCAUCUAAGCAUGAAGCCCCCCUCAAGAUGAGAUUUCCCAACUUCGGUUAUAAGAUC